rnacentral:rRNA from 1 species
AUUGAACGCUGGCGGCAUGCCUUACACAUGCAAGUCGAACGGUAACGGGUCCUUCGGGAUGCCGACGAGUGGCGAACGGGUGAGUAAUAUAUCGGAACGUGCCCAGUAGUGGGGGAUAACUGCUCGAAAGAGCAGCUAAUACCGCAUACGACCUGAGGGUGAAAGGGGGGGAUCGCAAGACCUCUCGCUAUUGGAGCGGCCGAUAUCAGAUUAGCUAGUUGGUGGGGUAAAGGCCUACCAAGGAAACGAUCUGUAGUUGGUCUGAGAGGACGACCAGCCACACUGGGACUGAGACACGGCCCAGACUCCUACGGGAGGCAGCAGUGGGGAAUGUUGGACAAUGGGCGCAAGCCUGAUCCAGCAAUGCCGCGUGCAGGAAGAAGGCCUUCGGGUUGUAAACUGCUUUUGUCAGGGAAGAAAUCUUCUGGGCUAAUACCCCGGGAGGAUGACGGUACCUGAAGAAUAAGCACCGGCUAACUACGUGCCAGCCGCCGCGGUAA